GACGAACGCUGGCGGCGUGCCUAAUACAUGCAAGUAGAACGCACAGUUUAUACCGUAGCUUGCUACACCAUAGACUGUGAGUUGCGAACGGGUGAGUAACGCGUAGGUAACCUGCCUGGUAGCGGGGGAUAACUAUUGGAAACGAUAGCUAAUACCGCAUAAUAUUAAUUAUUGCAUGAUAAUUAAUUGAAAGGUGCAAUUGCACCACUACCAGAUGGACCUGCGUUGUAUUAGCUAGUAGGUGAGGUAACGGCUCACCUAGGCGACGAUACAUAGCCGACCUGAGAGGGUGAUCGGCCACACUGGGACUGAGACACGGCCCAGACUCCUACGGGAGGCAGCAGUAGGGAAUCUUCGGCAAUGGACGAAAGGCUGACCGAGCAACGCCGCGUGAGUGAAGAAGGUUUUCGGAUCGUAAAGCUCUGUUGUAAGAGAAGAACGGGUGUGAGAGUGGAAAGUUCACACUGUGACGGUAUCUUAACAGAAAGGGACGGCUAACUACGUG
rnacentral:rRNA from 1 species